UCAAAAUUGGACGCUAUGUUUACCUUAUUGGACCAACCAAUAUUUUCAUUAAGAAAAAAUAAAAAGUGAUGAAUUCCUAUAGACUGCAUGAAUCAAAAUAAUUAUAUACGUCACUCACUAAUUUUAAAAAAUAUUUUCGAUAGACUCUCAUCAAUAUUCUCGAUGAUAUCUUAGCGGAUAUUUGUGCAAAAUUCAUGUUAUCUCGACAAUAACUUUAAUUUCAACAACAACAAUAGUAAAAUAUUCAAUGUAUUUCCACAUAGUGGGGUCUGGGAAGGAUAGAGUGUACGCAAACCACACUACUAACUCAAGCGAAAUAGAGAAGCUGUUUCUGAUAGACCCCUUACUAUAUGGAAAUAAAAAAUAUAAAUGCAUAUAAACUUGUACAUGCAAAAUAAACUAAUAACGCUAACCACAAGAUACUACUAAAAACUAUAUAUCUGAAAGCAUAGACAACACUCAACCCACGAACAAGAAACUACAGACAUAAAUAAAGAAUGCUCCCGUAAUAUUACCGACGCACUCCCAUCCCCUAACCCUCUACCCUAAUCCGCAUCCUUCAAUCCUUCCUAUUAAGGGUCAUGUCCACCGUAAGUUGUAACUGCUCCAUAUCAUGCCUAAUCAUUUCCCUUCAAUAUUUCUUCGGCCUACCUCUACCCCGCUUAAAAUCAUCCAUAACGAGUGUCUCACACCUCCGCACUGGAGCACCGAAAUCCUUCUUCAUCACGUGCCCAAACCAACAUAACCUCACUUUUCGCAUCUUGUCCUCCAUCGAAGUAGCUCUCACCUUUUGAAAGGAUAGAGUGUACGCAAACCACACUACUAACUCAGGCGAAAUAGAGAAGCUGUUUCUGAUAGACCCCUUACUAUAUGGAAAUAAAAAAUAUAAAUGCAUAUAAACUUGUACAUGCAAAAUAAACUAAUAACGCUAACCACAAGAUACUACUAAAAACUAUAUAUCUGAAAGCAUAGACAACACUCAACCCACGAACAAGAAACUACAGACAUAAAUAAAGAAUACUCCCGUAAUAUUACUGACGCACUCCCACCCCCUAACCCUCUACCCUAAUCCGCAUCCUUCAAUCCUUCCUAUUAAGGGUCAUGUCCACCGUAAAUUGUAACUGCUCCAUAUCAUGCCUAAUCAUUUUCUUUCAAUAUUUCUUCGGCCUACCUCUACCCCGCUUAAAAUCAUCCAUAACCAGUGUCUCACACCUCCGCACUGGAGCACCGAAAUCCUUCUUCAUCACGUGCCCGAACCAACAUAACUUCACUUUUCGCAUCUUGUCCUCCAUCGAAGUAGCUCUCACCUUUUGCAAAUAAUCUGAUUCCUCACCCUAUCUUUCAUGGUAUGACCACACAGUAACUUUAAUUUAACUUUCAAAAUUCAUCAAGAAAAACAAAUUAAAGAGUUACGAAAUAAAAUAAAUAACAACCAUAAAUAUGUCUCACUAUCAAACAAGCCGGAGUCGGUUAUAUAAAUCCAUUACAAGCCAAUAUCAUAUUAAAAAUUUUAUUGUAAGUUUCCUAUUCUAAUUAAGUCAUGUUAUUUUUAUUAGGAAGUUGAUAUAUACUUACUUAUAUAAUCUGUCUGUGAUAUUUUUUCUGCGAAAGUGAGAUUUGAGGAUGAGAGAAAAAAUUAAUAACUUACGUAAUUUAUUUUUUAAGAAAAUAUUUAUCGUAAUUGAUGGCUCUUUCAAUUUGACGAAGGGGUAGCAACAGUGGCAGAAUCAAGAUUUUUAUCGAGGGGUUCAAAAGUAUAUAUAUAUAUAUAUAUAAAUUAGUCGAAGGGGGUUCAAUAUAUAAUAUAUAUAUGCAUAAAAGAUAUUUUUGAUCAUGUAAAAAUAAUAUAAUUUUUUGUUAAAGGGAUUCGACUACCCGGAGCAAAGGUGGCUCCACCACUGGUGGGGUGGGUGGUUUAUUGAUUAUUACUGCAGCGGUCAAUUACAGACACCAUAGUCAAGUCAAUUUAGCAAAAUUUAAUGUUGCAUUUAAAAAAAAAAACCAAAAAAACAGGUAGUUGAAAUACAAUAAGUAAUAGUAAAUAAAAUUUGUAACCAAAUAUCUCGAUUUUGAGCUGUGGUAAUUGAAAAAGAAAAAUCUUAAUAG
rnacentral:lncRNA from 1 species